AUUGAACGCUGGCGGAAUGCUUUACACAUGCAAGUCGAACGGCAGCACGGACUUCGGUCUGGUGGCGAGUGGCGAACGGGUGAGUAAUGUAUCGGAACGUGCCCAGUCGUGGGGGAUAACGUAGUGAAAAUUACGCUAAUACCGCAUACGAUCUAUGGAUGAAAGCGGGGGAUCGCAAGACCUCGCGCGAUUGGAGCGGCCGAUAUCAGACUAGGUAGGUGGUGGGGUAAAGGCCGACCAAGCCAACGAUCUGUAGCUGGUCUGAGAAGACGACCAGCCACACUGGAACUGAGACACGGGCCAGACUCCUACGGGAGGCAGCAGUGGGGAACUUUGGACAAUGGGCGAAAGCCUGAUCCAGCCAUUCCGCGUGCAGGAUGAAGGCCCUCGGGUUGUAAACUGCUUUUGUACAGAACGAAAAGGUUUCUACUAAUACUAGGAGCUCAUGACGGUACUGUAAGAAUAAGCACCGGCUAACUACGUGCCAGCCGCCGCGGUAA
rnacentral:rRNA from 1 species